rnacentral:rRNA from 1 species
AUUGAACGCUAGCGGGAUGCUUUACACAUGCAAGUCGAACGGCAGCGCGGACUUCGGUCUGGCGGCGAGUGGCGAACGGGUGAGUAAUGUAUCGGAACGUGCCCAGUAGCGGGGGAUAACUACGCGAAAGCGUAGCUAAUACCGCAUACGCCCUACGGGGGAAAGCAGGGGAUCGUAAGACCUUGCACUAUUGGAUCGGCCGAUAUCGGAUUAGCUAGUUGGUGAGGUAACGGCUCACCAAGGCGACGAUCCGUAGCUGGUUUGAGAGGACGACCAGCCACACUGGGACUGAGACACGGCCCAGACUCCUACGGGAGGCAGCAGUGGGGAAUUUUGGACAAUGGGGGCAACCCUGAUCCAGCCAUCCCGCGUGUGCGAUGAAGGCCUUCGGGUUGUAAAGCACUUUUGGAAGGAAAGAAACGUCGCGGGCUAAUACCCCGUGGAACUGACGGUACCUGCAGAAUAAGCACCGGCUAACUACGUG